GUUCUUGUAGUUGAAGUACAGCGAUAGUUUUUCAAACUACAGGUCCAGGUUAAAGUCCUGGCAGGAAUA
rnacentral:tRNA from 1 species